UGCAGCCGUCUCCCUCGGGCUGCUGCCGGUGCUGCGGGCGGAGGCGGCUCCGCCCGUGUUGGGCGCUGCGAGCAGGGAGCGCUGCGGUAUCGCCGGCAUGACGGGGCUGCUCCCUGCGUUAGUGCUCGUGGCUCUUUGUGCCGUGACAGCGGAUGGAGCGGCGCUGGGCGGUAAAGCCAGAGAUGGCCGGGAGAAUGCCCAGCGCAGGGAGCGGGCGGGCUGUGUGCUUCGGAUGGCACAGGGUACUCACAAAAUAUGUCUCCCUUAGAGUCCCACAGAAACGUUCUCAGUGCGAUCUCUAUCAAGUGCUCUGAGUCUUGAUAAAUUGGAGAAGAGCCCAAGAGAAAUUUUUCAUCCCUUGAUAUAAAAGGGAUAGGUGAAUUUUAACUUUGGAGUCCCCUAUGCUAAGGAUGCUCAGCUUACAGGUGAUGAAAUGUUCAGUAAUGUAUUUGCUGCAGCUCUGCUCACCCAAGCUUUGGGUUCCUUCUGUCCCACUGGGAGUUGCCCAGUUUGGUUGCAUCUGGUGAAAUUCACCCUGAGACCUUACAGAACCAGCUCCAACUACGUGAGAGCCAUUUGCAGUUCUCUCCAGACGCCUGGAGAAUGGGCGACGUUUCUGAGGAUCCGGCGAGCGUGCUUCUGUCAAAACUCAGUCUGUGAAAUUCCUGGGGAAAACCCUUCUGUGUCCUGAAGGGUUCAAACUCUGGUGAGGAUCCAGUUAUCAGGUGCUCACCUGGAUGGUUCCAGCUCCCAAAGGGAAAGACUCUCGUGUCCUUGUCGUCGGGCUCGGUGCUGUCCAAGAAGAUACAGGGACUAAAAAAAUCAUAAGAAGCAAAAUAUGACUGCAGGGAAAAGAAGCUGGAGAGAACAGAAGGCUGCCAUUUGUGUGCCAUCGGUACUCACCACGGAAGGGAGCUGGGGAUUGUUGCAGCUGUUGGGAACAAACCGCUUCUCGUCACACAGAAAUGGAAUUGGGACGACGCCUUGGCCAGCCCCUCUCUGCUAUCGUCUCCUGAAUCUGCAGCAGAGCAGUUCCAGUCCAUCCGGGCACGUGUAAUGCAGUUCCUGAUGAUCUGAGCACACGGAGCAGCGCUCAGCUGCUGUGGGGGUCUCAGGGAAGGCAGAGUGUGCAUUGUCAUCUUCCUGAACCUACAGACGAAUCAAAGUGAGAAGCCACAGCGUGGAAAUCAGUCGCAUAUAUGCUAAAUAAAACUUGCAGAUUUUUUUAAGAA